GAAUAACAUUAACUCCAGUCCCACUCACACUCGGGGGCCAAGCGGUCGCAUCGUCGGAAUGUGUCUCCAAAUAUUCAGUGUGUCCGAAAGCCAUAAAAGCGACGCGCACAUAACGAGGCGCUGGCCGGGGAGACGAGGAAAAAAUGAAAGAGACGCAACGAAAUUGAGGUAUUACUACAACCUGCGAGGCCAUAACCAGAAACACCUCGACUUGUCGCAACGCAACAACUGACUCGGGGCAUUUUCCCAGGUUAACAAUCAAAUAAUAACCAAGCACC